rnacentral:rRNA from 1 species
CACGUAGUUAGCCGACCCUUAUUCGUUAGUUACCGUCAUAUUCUUCACUAACAAAAGACAGUUUACGACCCGAAGGCCUUCAUCCUGCACGCGGCGUUGCUCCAUCAGGCUUUCGCCCAUUGUGGAAGAUUCCUCACUGCUGCCUCCCGUAGGAGUCUGGACCGUGUCUCAGUUCCAGUCUGGCUGAUCAUCCUCUCAGACCAGCUACCGAUCGUCGGCUUGGUGAGCCAUUACCUCACCAACUACCUAAUCGGACGCGGGCUUCUCCUAAAGCGUAUAAAACUUUAAUCCGAAAACCAUAUGCGGUAUUAGACACCGUUUCCGAUGCUUAUCCCUCACUUUAGGGUGAAUUCCCACGCGUUACUCAGCCGUUCGCCGCUCGUGUACCCCGAAGGGCCUUACCGCUCGACUUGCAUGUGUUAGGCACGCCGCCAGCGUUCAUCCUGAGCCAGGAUCAAACUCU